GUUACUUCAAUAUCAACUAAAAAGAAGUACAGUCAAGAUGUCGUUUUCUCAGAGUGUAGAACACCUACAGUUACAUUGUUACAUUAUCUUUUCUGUGUGCUAGUCAAAUGGAAACUGCAGUACACCAGAUUCCGAUUUAUUUAAGUAAGAUCUAGAGAUGAUCACUCAAAGCAGAAAAAAAAACUAAAGAGGAAAUCAAGACAAUUCAGUAUGUUUUCCAGAUAUUGGCGUAUUUUGGAUUUAAACACGGGGACACUUUACUAAGCUUGGCGAAUAUGGUGCUGGAUUUAAAAAACCGAACAACAUCCAACCUAAAUUUUCAAACGGCGUUUCCUUGAAACAUUUCUCCGUGUCAAAAAGAUUUGAUUAAUUCACACGCGAAGAAAACUGGAGAGGUGAUCAACUAAAGUUGGACAGAUGCAGCAUAAUGAAAAAUAUUAUGUAGUCCAUUUCUGGAGAGCUUAUAGAGAAGAAGACUAUCAGUAGUGGUCUUCCUUCGCCUAUUUAAGGAGAUCUACAGUCAUCUUUGCUGAAAAAGCGCAGAAGUUCAUCGGUGACAUAUUCCUUUUCAUGUCUUCCGGCGUCGUCGAUUCCUCGGAUGACCUGAAUGUCUUCCUACUUUUUUCGAACUUGUGUCAACUAAAGUCCUUCUCGAGCCUGUUCAACGAGAUGAUGUGCAACAACUGUACAAAUUUUCUAGGAUGGUUUGCUUUUAAAUGACACAGAAAAUGCAAAACUUGGCUCAGAACUUCAGAAAAACGUCUCGAAAAAGCUCAAACCAAUAUUGCAAACGCGUCAUCCAAAGAAUGAAUGUGAAUCAGUGAGAUCUACAGACACAUCGUGAUUUAUUAUGGAUACUUGUUAAUACAUAUUACUAUCCUCAAGCCGGAAACGAAGACGAAAACCGAAGAACAAUCAAGUUUGAAGAUUAACGAGUCGCAGGACACGGCUUCUGUAUGAAAAAUAUUCUAUUCGGUGAAUUAUUAUAAUAUGUUUUUCAUAACAUGGCUGAUUUGUAUCUUCGAUGGGCAAGUUUUAAAAAGCAUGGAAAAAAAGUGAACAUGAAUGCAAGAGAUACCUAGUUCAAAAGUUAGAACAGAAAUGAUUCAGUAAACCAAGAUAUAAAGUAAAUAUUGGUGCUGAUUUGAAUUACCAAAUAGCAGGGAAAAAGCUAUCUCAUGAGUACUAAAACGAAAGUAGAUACUAAAGGAUAUAAGUAUUGAGUAGAAAGUAUUGGAAAUGACUUUUAUUUAAAUUGCGAGCUGAUGAAUUACGUUUGACAUUAGGCAGUAUCAAUCUCUGAGUGUUUUUUUUUUGUUGGUUUUCGAUGUUGGAUCCAGCUUAAAAUAGAAAUCAGCGCUCAUGAAACAGCCAUAAACUGUACCAUCGCCGAGGUUGAUUUUUUUAAAAUAGUGUCUGAAUUGAGUAGUAAUGGGUAAACUAAGGUACUUGUUAGCUGAACAUUUUCUUGUGCAAAAAAUAAUCUAUAGUUUUUUCAACGAAAGUUCUUCCUGUACAAGCUGGCGCUUAUAAUAGAAUACUGAUUUCUCUUACUAACGAUAUCGCGGUAGGAAAAAUCAGCAUUUUUUGGAUGACAUUACAAAUAAUGAUAUACCUAAGUGAACUGUGAACUAAUAAUACAAAUUUUGAUAAGAA